rnacentral:miRNA from 1 species
CUGGGGGUGGGGGGCUGGGCGU